GAAAGAAGAAACAGAGUCAUCAAAAUUUGGGGAAAAUUCUUACAAGAGAAUCGAAUAGAUUUUGAUUUGAGGAAAAAAAGGGGUGGUGUUGAAGUGGAUUUGUGAUGGUAAGGAGUGUUUGGUUGUGAGUAAAAUUCGUUUUUUCUUUUUUGGGUUUUGGGUGGUUGGAGUAAAGAGCGAAAGAGAAGGAAAAUUGCAGGUAUGAAUAGAGGAGGAAUUGGAAUUGGAGGGCCAAUGCGAAAGUCUUUUAAGGACUCUCUUAAAGUUCUUGAAGCUGAUAUUCAGCAUGCUAAUACUCUGGCAUCUGACUUUCCCCGAGAGUACGAUGGGGCCUGCCUACAGAUGAGAAUGUCCUACAGUCCAGCAGCGCACCUGUUCCUUUUCUUAGUCCAGUGGACUGAUUGCCACCUUGCUGGUGCACUUGGAUUGUUGAGAAUUCUUAUUUACAAGGUUUAUGUUGAUGGCACCACAACCAUGUCAGUUCAUGAAAGGAAAGCAAGC
rnacentral:misc_RNA from 1 species